AGGAAUAACUUCCAUGACGUCACAGAAGACACUGCAUCAUCAAAGAAUUCCAAACAGCAAACCCGGUUAUGACCUGGCUUUACAGCCCUUACUGAUCCCACCUGCUCCUUAUAUCAGAAGAGAAACGACAACCUGAAAAUACAGAGCUCCCAAGCUGAGAUGACAUAUCUGCAGACAGAUAUUUAAGAGUCCUUCUCACCCUGUCUUCUGUUAACAGACUGGAUGGAAGGAACCUCUCCUGUUGUAUACUGUUCCUUCCUAAGAUGGACACAUUUCAUAGCUUUUUCUACCAACGCAAAAAUAUCAUUUUAAUAUGAAGGAAUAUUUGAAAGAAUUCAGUAAUGCUCCACAAGGGCAUAGCAUUUCAUAGCCUGAUACCAAUGACAAAUCAAGCUCUGAAUUCAAAAUGGCCUCCAGAAAUCAGAUCUUGCUUUGUACUCGGAGGCCAUUUUGAUGGGAUCGAAUAAUAUUUUAAGAUGGCCGCUUUGGCAUGAGGUUAAGACAAGAUCACAGGAAUCCACUUUCAGUAUCUACAGAGAUGUUGCAGCAUUUGUACAGAGCCGAGUUGGCUGUGAUGACCAUCCGCGAGAUCGGCUAUUUUAAGGUCCAUGGGAAGAUGCACUAAAAAAAAUUUAGCAAGGGAAUCAAGAAAAGAAACUUGGGCCUCAACCAGCUUUCAUCAGCUCCCUCCACUCAACUGAAAUAUAAAAAAAACACAUUUAAAUCAGUUUUCCUAUAGUUCUGUGAAUCAAACUGAGAUAAAGAAAUUAAUGUAUAAAUUACACUUUUUGCCCUAUUCAAUUAAAACUACAAUGUUUAUAUUGCUGGACAUGGUUGUCAUGAAUUUUGUGUCUCUCUAAUAAAUAUAAAUAAAUAUUUCAAUUUCU